rnacentral:rRNA from 1 species
CCUACGGGAGGCAGCAGUGGGGAAUAUUGCGCAAUGGGCGAAAGCCUGACGCAGCAACGCCGUGUGAGCGAUGAAGGCUUUAGGGUCGUAAAGCUCUGUCAAAUGGGAAGAAUUAUGACGGUACCAUUAGAGGAAGCCCCGGCUAACUCCGUGCCAGCAGCCGCGGUAAUACGGAGGAUCCAAGCGUUAUCCGGAAUCAUUGGGUUUAAAGGGUCCGCAGGCGGUCUUUUAAGUCAGAGGUGAAAGCCUACAGCUCAACUGUAGAACGGCCUUUGAUACUGAAAGACUUGAGUUAUUGUGAAGUGAUUAGAAUGUGUGGUGUAGCGGUGAAAUGCAUNAGAUAUCACACAGAAUACCGAUUUGCGAAGGCAGAUCACUAACAAUAUACUGACGCUCAUGGACGAAAGCGUGGGGAGCGAACAGGAUUNAGAUACCCCUGGUAGUCCACGGCCGUAAACGAUGGAUACUAAGCUGUUCCGUCUAACAAUUGGUUAGAAUGAGUGGCUAAGCGAAAGUGAUAAGUAUCCCACCUGGGGAGUACGGUCGCAAGACUGAAACUCAAAUGAAUUGACGG